UAGCUCACAACACCUUGUCAUGCCACACCCCCACGGGAAACAGCAGUGAUAAACAUUAAGCAAUAAACGAAAGUUUGACUAAGCCAUACUUACACACCCAGGGUUGGUAAAUUUCGUGCCAGCCACCGCGGUCAUACAAUUAACCCAAAUUAAUAAACAACGGCGUAAAGAGUGUUUUAGAAUUCAACCACAUACUAAAGUUAAGAAUUAACUAAGCCGUAAAAAGCCCUAGUUAAGACAAAACUAUCAACCGAAAGUGACUUUAAACCCCUGAAUACACGACAGUUAAGACCCAAACUGAGAUUAGAUACCCCACUAUGCUUAACCAUAAACCAAAAUAAUAGCAAANNNNNNNNNNNNNCAGAGUACUACAAUCAACAACUCAAAACUCAAAGGACUUGGCGGUGCUUUAUACCCCUCUAGAGGAGCCUGUCCUAUAAUCGAUAAACCCCGAUAAACCUCACCACCCCUUGCUAAUUCAACCUAUAUACCGCCAUCCUCAGCAAACCCUGCUAAGGACUUAAAGUAAGCAAGAUACUUACACACUAAAACGUUAGGUCAAGGUGUAGUCUAUGGGACGGGAAGAAAUGGGCUACAUUUCCUACGCCCAUAGGAACACAAACGCUAGCCCCCAUGAAACACAAGGCAAAAGGCGGAUUUAGUAUUAAACCAAGAAUAGAGAGCCUGAUUGAAUUGGGCAAUGAAGCACGCACACACCGCC
rnacentral:rRNA from 1 species